CAGCCAGGAGGCGGAGGUCUCCUGCCCCUUCAUUGACAACACCUACUCCUGCUCGGGCAAGCUGCUGGAGAGGGAGAUCAAGGCGCUCCUGACCCCUGAGGAUUACCAGCGAUUUCUAGACCUGGGCAUCUCCAUUGCUGAAAACCGCAGUGCCUUCAGCUACCAUUGCAAGACCCCAGAUUGCAAGGGAUGGUGCUUCUUUGAGGAUGAUGUCAAUGAGUUCACCUGCCCUGUGUGUUUCCACGUCAACUGCCUGCUCUGCAAGGCCAUCCAUGAGCAGAUGAACUGCAAGGAGUAUCAGGAGGACCUGGCCCUGCGGGCUCAGAACGAUGUGGCUGCCCGGCAGACGACAGAGAUGCUGAAGGUGAGGCUGGGACAGGGCCGAGGCCUAGGGAUUUUAAGUUCUGGGAUCCAGGUGGGGGCUGGGGGCUUCUCAGUAAGGGCUGUGCUCACACAUCCCUGGAGGCUCUGACCUCCCUUCUGGCUGUCACUCCCAUCUGGAGGUGGGACUUAGGCCAAAUGGUCAUGUCAGGAAGAGCGUCUAGGUGGAGGGUGGAGACACAGGAAUGAAGAGGGGGUUGCUGGAUGGAACCUGGCCUGGCAGAGCCGCACAGGAGAGACUCCACAGCUCUAGAGGGUCACCACCUUCUCCCUGGCAUGGGGAGGGGCCAGGCUGGGUGACUGCCCCAGCCCCGCCCCAAGGCCAGUGCCUGCCCCACUCCAGGUGAUGCUGCAGCAGGGCGAGGCCAUGCGCUGCCCCCAGUGCCAGAUCGUGGUGCAGAAGAAGGACGGCUGCGACUGGAUCCGCUGCACCGUCUGCCACACCGAGAUCUGCUGGGUCACCAAGGGCCCACGCUGGGGCCCUGGGGGCCCAGGAGACACCAGCGGGGGCUGCCGCUGCAGGGUAAAUGGGAUUCCUUGCCACCCAAGCUGUCAGAACUGCCACUGAGCUAAAGAUGGUGGGGCCACAUGCUGACCCAGCCCCACAUCCACAUUCUGUUAUGGGGCAGGGCUGGGCUUGGGGCUCUGGCUCCAACUUCUGGCUGGGAGAUGCUUUUGUGCAAAGGCCAAGUCCCUGAGCUUCGUGGACAGCCUUGCUUGCUGUAGCAUUGUAGGGGCCCUGCCUGCACUGCUGUUGUCCACGGUCACAUCUGCCCCAGUGCCUUUGUCCUUCCCUUGGGGCUUGCCGGCCAGACUUCUCUCCCCUGCAGCUCCCACCUCUGCCUGACCCCAGCCUUAAACAUAGCCCCUGGCCAGAGGCCUUGCUGAGUGGAGCCUCUGUGUGACUCCGUACUCCUCCCACCACAACACUCAUCUGUCGAACACCAAGCACUCUCAGCCUCCCCGCCUUCCCCUGUCAGCUUUCUGGGGCUAACUUCUCUGCCUUUGUGGUUGGAGGCCUGGGGCCUCUUAGAACUCUUGCUAACCUGUUCAGAGCGAGGAAGGAGAAUGCACAGUUUUGAAAGCACAGCCCGUCAGGUCCGGCUCUGCAUCUCCCUCUCUGUAGCCUGUGUAAGCUAUUAUAAUUAAAACGGUUUUCCGGGAA
rnacentral:sRNA from 1 species